AGGUGAUCCAACCGCAGGUUCCCCUACGGUUACCUUGUUACGACUUCACCCCAGUCAUGAAUCACAAAGUGGUAAGCGCCCUCCCGAAGGUUAAGCUACCUACUUCUUUUGCAACCCACUCCCAUGGUGUGGCGGGCGGUGUGUACAAGGCCCGGGAACGUAUUCACCGUGGCAUUCUGAUCCACGAUUACUAGCGAUUCCGACUUCAUGGAGUCGAGUUGCAGUACUCCAAUUCCGGACUACGACGCACUUUAUGAGGUCCGCUUGCUCUUCGCGAGGUCGCUUCUCUUUGUAUGCGCCAUUGUAGCACGUGUGUAGCCCUGGUCGUAAGGGCCAUGAUGACUUGACGUCAUCCCCACCUUCCUCCAGUUUAUCACUGGCAGUCUCCUUUGAGUUCCCGGCCGGACCGCUGGCAACAAAGGAUAAGGGUUGCGCUCGUUGCGGGACUUAACCCAACAUUUCACAACACGAGCUGACGACAGCCAUGCAGCACCUGUCUCACGGUUCCCGAAGGCACAUUCUCAUCUCUGAAAACUUCCGUGGAUGUCAAGACCAGGUAAGGUUCUUCGCGUUGCAUCGAAUUAAACCACAUGCUCCACCGCUUGUGCGGGCCCCCGUCAAUUCAUUUGAGUUUUAACCUUGCGGCCGUACUCCCCAGGCGGUCGACUUAACGCGUUAGCUCCGGAAGCCACGCCUCAAGGGCACAACCUCCAAGUCGACAUCGUUUACGGCGUGGACUACCAGGGUAUCUAAUCCUGUUUGCUCCCCACGCUUUCGCACCUGAGCGUCAGUCUUCGUCCAGGGGGCCGCCUUCGCCACCGGUAUUCCUCCAGAUCUCUACGCAUUUCACCGCUACACCUGGAAUUCUACCCCCCUCUACGAGACUCAAGCUUGCCAGUAUCAGAUGCAGUUCCCAGGUUGAGCCCGGGGAUUUCACAUCUGACUUAACAAACCGCCUGCGUGCGCUUUACGCCCAGUAAUUCCGAUUAACGCUUGCACCCUCCGUAUUACCGCGGCUGCUGGCACGGAGUUAGCCGGUGCUUCUUCUGCGGGUAACGUCAAUGAGCAAAGGUAUUAACUUUACUCCCUUCCUCCCCGCUGAAAGUACUUUACAACCCGAAGGCCUUCUUCAUACACGCGGCAUGGCUGCAUCAGGCUUGCGCCCAUUGUGCAAUAUUCCCCACUGCUGCCUCCCGUAGGAGUCUGGACCGUGUCUCAGUUCCAGUGUGGCUGGUCAUCCUCUCAGACCAGCUAGGGAUCGUCGCCUUGGUGAGCCGUUACCCCACCAACAAGCUAAUCCCAUCUGGGCACAUCCGAUGGCAAGAGGCCCGAAGGUCCCCCUCUUUGGUCUUGCGACGUUAUGCGGUAUUAGCUACCGUUUCCAGUAGUUAUCCCCCUCCAUCAGGCAGUUUCCCAGACAUUACUCACCCGUCCGCCACUCGUCAGCAAAGAAGCAAGCUUCUUCCUGUUACCGUUCGACUUGCAUGUGUUAGGCCUGCCGCCAGCGUUCAAUCUGAGCCAUGAUCAAACUCU
rnacentral:rRNA from 1 species